GGUCUCUCCCGCUGUCUUUGGCAAUGGUAGAACUCACACUGGUGAGGUAUCAGGAUCCGGUGGUUCUAGACUUGCCAACUACCGCCCGAGGGU
rnacentral:pre_miRNA from 1 species